rnacentral:rRNA from 1 species
UGCAGUCGAGCGGAGAAGKGAGCUUGCUCCCGGAUUCMGCGKMGSACGGGUGAGAAUGCCYAGGAAUCUGCCUGGWAGUGGRGGACAACGUUUCGAAAGGAACGCUAAUACCGCAUACGUCCUACGGGAGAAAGCAGGGGACCUUCGGGCCUUGCGCUAUCAGAAGAGCCUAGGUCGGAUUAGCUAGUUGGUGAGGUAAUGGCUCACCAAGGCGACGAUCCGUAACUGGUCUGAGAGGAUGAUCAGUCACACUGGAACUGAGACASGGUCCAGACCCCUACGGGAGGCAGCAGUGGGGAAUAUUGGACAAUGGGCGAAAGCCUGAUCCAGCCAUGCCGCGUGUGUGAAGAAGGUCUUCGGAUUGUAAAGCACUUUAAGUUGGGAGGAAGGGUUGUAGAUUAAUACUCUGCAAUUUUGACGUUACCGACAGAAUAAGCACCGGCUAACUCUGUGCCAGCAGCCGCGGUAAUACAGAGGGUGCAAGCGUUAAUCGGAAUUACUGGGCGUAAAGCGCGCGUAGGUGGUUCGUUAAGUUGGAUGUGAAAUCCCCGGGCUCAACCUGGGAACUGCAUCCAAAACUGGCGAGCUAGAGUAUGGUAGAGGGUGGUGGAAUUUCCUGUGUAGCGGUGAAAUGCGUAGAUAUAGGAAGGAACACCAGUGGCGAAGGCGACCACCUGGACUGAUACUGACACUGAGUGCGAAAGCGUGGGGAGCAAACAGGAUUAGAUACCCUGGUAGUCCACGCCGUAACCGAUUGUCAACUAGCGUUGGAGCCUUGAGCUCUUARKGGCSSAGCUAACSAUUAAGUUGACCGCCUKGGGAGUACGCCGCAAGGUUAAAACUCAAAUKAAUUGRCGGG